UGAGGAAUUUUUCACAAUGGACGAAAGUCUGAUGGAGCAAUACCACGUGAACGAUGAAGGUCUUCUGAUUGUAAAGUUCUUUUAUUUAGGAAAAAAAGCGUGCUAGGAAAUGAGCGCGCCUUGAUGGUACUAAUUGAAUAAGUGACAGCUAACUAUGUGCCAGCAGCUGCGGUAAAACAUAGGUCACGAGCAUUAUCCGGAUUUAUUGGGCGUAAAGGAAGCGUAGGCGGGGAGGUUGAUCCAUUGUUAAAAGCAUUUGCUUAACAAAUGUGUGCAUUGGAGAUCGCCUCCCUAGAGUUAAUCAGGGGGUACUGGAAUUCAAUGUGUAGCGGUGGAAUGCGUAGAUAUAUUGAGGAACACCAGAGGCUAAGGCGAGUGCCUAGGAUAUAACUGACGCUGAGGCUUGAAAGCGUGGGGAGCAAAUGGGAUUAGAUACCCCAGUAGUCCACGCCGUAAACGAUGAGCAUUGGGCAUUUG
rnacentral:rRNA from 1 species